GUGCCAGCAGCCGCGGUAAGACGAACCGUGCGAACGUUGUUCGGAUUCACUGGGCAUAAAGGGCGCGUAGGCGGCUGGGCAAGUCGGUUGUGAAAUCUUUCAGCUCAACUGGAAAAUAGCUGCCGAUACUGCCUAGCUGGAGGGAGGUAGGGGUGUGUGGAACUUCCGGUGGAGCGGUGAAAUGCGUAGAUAUCGGAAGGAACGCCGGUGGCGAAAGCGACGCACUGGACCUCCACUGACGCUGAUGCGCGAAAGCCAGGGGAGCAAACGGGAUUAGAAACCCCGGUAGUCC
rnacentral:rRNA from 1 species